UGCUGAUGUUGGAAGGCAGGCUCCUUUAUGGAGUUUGAGCUUGCUCCCAGCAGGGAAGACGAGUUCAAGGUUUUCCUGCUUCAGGGAUGGUAGAGAGCAGUCUUCAGCCUGAGACUCAUCCCUAGGUAACCAGAGAUGACCUUGUACUGUGAGAGGAUUUGACCCUGGCAUGUGAAAUGGCAGACGAGAGCUAGAAAGAGUCAAGGAAACAUUUCUUUUGAGCUAUUGUCAACUUUUAACAAGGAAGUAUACUCCUAUGAUCAAAAUUUGGAGCAUAUUUGUUUCUUUC